rnacentral:rRNA from 1 species
CCUACGGGAGGCAGCAGUGAGGAAUAUUGGUCAAUGGGCGCGAGCCUGAACCAGCCAAGUAGCGUGAAGGAUGACUGCCCUAUGGGUUGUAAACUUCUUUUAUAAAGGAAUAAAGUGAGGCACGUGUGCCUUUUUGCAUGUACUUUAUGAAUAAGGAUCGGCUAACUCCGUUCCAGCAGCCGCGGUAAUACGGAGGAUCCGAGCGUUAUCCGGAUUUAUUGGGUUUAAAGGGAGAGUAGAUGGGUUGUUAAGUCAGUUGUGAAAGUGUGCGGCUCAACCGUAAAAUUGCAAUUGAUACUGGAAGGUGUGAGUACAGUUGAGGGAGGCGGAAUUCGUGGUGUAGCGGUGAAAUGCUUAGAUAUCACGAAGAACUCCGAUUGCGAAGGCAGCUUACUAAACUGCCACUGACAUUGAUGCUCGAAAGUGUGGGUAGCAAACAGGAUUAGAUACCCCGGUAGUC